rnacentral:rRNA from 1 species
AUUGAACGCUAGAGGGAUGCCUUACACAUGCAAGUCGAACGGAGUGGCGAACGGGUGAGUAAUGCAUCGGAACGUGCCCAGUAGCGGGGGAUAACUACGAGAAAGCGUAGCUAAUACCGCAUACUAUUGGAGCGGCCGAUAACGGAUUAGCUAGUUGGGGGGGUAACGGCUCACCAAGGCGACGAUCCGUAGCUGGUUUUGGAGGACGACCAGCCACACUGGUACUGAGACACGGCCCAGACUCCGACGGGAGGCGGCCGUGGGGAAUUUUGGACAAUUGGGGAAACCCUGAUCCAGCCAUCCCGCGUGUGCGAUGAAGGCCUUCGGGUUGUAAAGCGCUUUUGGCAGGAAAGCGGUACCUGCAGAAUAAGCACCGGCUAACUACGUGCCAGCAGCCGCGGUAAUUC